GAUUGAUUUUGGGAUUUGAGAUCCCAACAGUUUGGGAAUUAGGGGCCAAAAAGUGGCCCAAAUAAGCAUUUUUCUUGGUUUUCGCACCAUAACUUUAGUAUAAGUAAAUAGAAAUCUAUGAAAUUUAAACACAAGGUUUAUGACCAUAAAAGGAAGGUUGGGAUUGAUUUUGGGAGUUUUAGUCCCAACAGUUUAUGAAUAAGGGGCCC
rnacentral:lncRNA from 1 species